rnacentral:rRNA from 1 species
AUUGAACGCUGGCGGCAGGCCUAACACAUGCAAGUCGAGCGGAUGAAGGGAGCUUGCUCCUGGAUUCAGCGGCGGACGGGUGAGUAAUGCCUAGGAAUCUGGCUGGUAGUGGGGGAUAACGUCCGGAAACGGGCGCUAAUACCGCAUACGUCCUGAGGGAGAAAGUGGGGGAUCUUCGGACCUCACGCUAUCAGAUUAGCCUAGGUCGGAUGCGCUAGUUGGUGGGGUAAAGGCCUACCAAGCCGACGAUCCGUAACUGGUCUGAGUGGAUGACCAGUCACACUGGAACUGAGACACGCUCCAGACUCCUACGCGAGGCAGCAGUGGGGAAUAUUGGACAAUGGUCGAAAGCCUGAUCCAGCCAUGCCGCGUGUGUGAAGAAGGGCUUAGGAUUGUAGAGCACUUUAAGUUGGGAGGAAGGGCAGUAAGUGAAUAUCUUGCUGUUUUGACGUUACCAACAGAAUAAGCCCCGGCUAACUUCGUG